rnacentral:rRNA from 1 species
CGUCUAGGCGGGUCAGCAAGUCAGGUGUGAAAUCUCACGGCUCAACCGUGGAACUGCAUUUGAUACUGCUGGUCUUGAGUACGGAAGAGGAAAGCGGAAUUCCUGGUGUAGCGGUGAAAUGCGUAGAUAUCAGGAAGAACACCGGUGGCGAAGGCGGCUUUCUGGUCCGAUACUGACGCUAAAGCGCGAAAGUGUGGGGAGCGAACAGGAUUAGAUACCCUGGUAGUCC